rnacentral:rRNA from 1 species
AUGUAUCAUGGAUGUAUGUAUGCAAUGCAAGUGAAGCCUCCUUUGCACAAACAAAGGGAGGCAUGUGGAUGCAGUUCCUGGGUAGAUUGGUUCCAGGCAGAGCCACUUUUUAUAGGCACUAUAUAUAUAGGAGUAGUAGUACUUGUGAAGCAAAGAUGUUUUGCUCUUAUGCUUACUACCACUGUGGAUGAUGAUGAUGAUGACAAUCCAUCCAAUUAUGUAUACCAAGUUACCAACCAGUAUAGUAGAAUAAAUUGCCACUUUGUCAAACCUAUGUUGUCAUGGAUGCUCAUCUUGAUCUUGUGCAUCAUGUGUCAAAAGGAGAUAGUGAUGCAUCAUAUGGUUAUGGUCAUUGGGACUGCUGAACAAGCACCAAAAAAUGCAAAAACCAACGAUGACACAUCAUCACUUCUCUGGACUUUGACUGUUGACAUGAGAAAGCAAGAACAAGUUUUGCGACUGUUCACCAGCAGGUUGUGCUCAAGCAAUACAGUGAUUGAGCAGCUUUCACCGUCAAAUUCUGCUUUUUAUCGUCUGAACGGAAAGCCGUCAAAACUCUCAGGCAUCACUCCUCCCAAAUCCCCAGAAUUCCAAGACAAAAUUUCAUCCUGA